GCUUGCGUCUUAGGCAGCACAUAAACUUAGGAUGAUACAGAGAUUAGCAUGGCCCUGUGCAAGGAUGACAUGCAAAUUCAUGAAGCGUUCCAUAUUUUA
ensembl:snRNA Gm24646 predicted gene, 24646